GAUGAACGCUGGCGGCGUGCCUAAUACAUGCAAGUCGAGCGAACAGACGAGGAGCUUGCUCCUCUGACGUUAGCGGCGGACGGGUGAGUAACACGUGGAUAACCUACCUAUAAGACUGGGAUAACUUCGGGAAACCGGAGCUAAUACCUGCUAAUAUCUUGAACCGCAUGGUUCAAUAGUGAACGACGGUUUUGCUGUCACUUAUAGAUGGAUCCGCGCCGCAUUAGCUAGUUGGUGAGGUAACGGCUUACCAAGGCAACGAUGCGUAGCCGACCUGAGAGGGUGAUCGGCCACACUGGAACUGAGACACGGUCCAGACUCCUACGGGAGGCAGCAGUAGGGAAUCUUCCGCAAUGGGCGAAAGCUUGACGGAGCAACGCCGCGUGAGUGAUGAAGGUCUUCGGAUCGUAAAACUCUGUUAUUAGGGAAGAACAAAUGUGUAAGUAACUAGGCACGUCUUGACGGUACCUAAACAGAAAGCCACGGCUAACUACGUG
rnacentral:rRNA from 1 species